rnacentral:rRNA from 1 species
AGUGAACGCUGGCGGCAGGCCUAACACAUGCAAGUCGAGCGGCAGCGGGUCCCGCGAGGGGAUGCCGGCGAGCGGCGGACGGGUGAGGAACACAUCGGAAUCUGCCUGGUUGUGGGGGAUAACGUAGGGAAACUUACGCUAAUACCGCAUGCGACCCUGAGUCGACGGACUGGGGUGAAAGUGAGGGACCUUCGGCCGUCACGCGACCAGAUGAGCCGAUGUCGGA